GAGGAAUUGGCGGGGGAGCACCGCAACGGGGGGAGCGUGCGGUUUAAUUGGAUUCAACACCGGAAAACUCACCAAGGGCGACUAUUACAUGAAAGCCAGGCUAAUGACCUUGCUUGAUUUUUAGAGAGGUGGUGCAUGGCCGUCGUCAGUUCGUACCGUAAGGCGUUCUCUUAAGUGAGAUAACGAACGAGACCCUCAUCUAUAAUUGCUACCUCAUUCUCCGGAAUGGAGGCACAUUAUCGAGACCGCUGGCGCUAAGUCAGAGGAAGGAGAGGUCAACGGUAGGUCAGUAUGCCCCGAAUCUCUUGGGCUACACGCGCGCUACAAAGGGCGGGACAAUGGGCUACGACGCCGAAAGGCGAAGUCAAUCUCGAAACCCGUCCGUAGUUCGGAUUGAGGCUUGUAACUCAGCCCCAUGAAGCUGGAUUCCGUAGUAAUCGCGAAUCAAAAACUCGCGGUGGAUAUGCCCCUGCUCCUUGCACACACCUC
rnacentral:rRNA from 1 species